ensembl:miRNA
UAUUAGGUUGGUGCAAAAGUAAUUGCAGUUUUGGGGAUUACUUUGCUGGCAAAAACUGCAAUUACUUUUCCACCAACCUUAUA